rnacentral:lncRNA from 1 species
UGAGAUUCAUUCCUUAGAUCAAGAAGAAGAAGAAGAGAUGGAGAUGACAGCACAACAACUGAGCGAAUACAACGGCACAGACCCAUCGAAGCCCAUCUACGUGGCGGUGAAGGGUCGCGUUUACGACGUCACCACCGGUAAAUCCUUCUACGGUCCAGGUGGAGCCUACGCCAUGUUCGCCGGCAAAGACGCUAGCAGAGCACUUGCAAAGAUGAGCAAGAACGAAGAAGAUAUCACCUCAUCGCUCGAUGGACUCACCGAGAAAGAGAUCGGAGUUCUCAAUGAUUGGGAAACCAAGUUUGUAGCUAAGUACCCUGUUGUUGCCACCAUCGUUAGUUAAUUAAUUAAUUAAUUAAUUCAACUCUCUUUAUCUAUCAUCGAUUUUCAUGAUCAAUCAUCAUAUUCUGAAGUAUGUUUGUGUUGUAACUAUAUGAAUCUGUUGAUGUUGAUGAAUUCAGUCCUAUCCCCUUUGUCCCAAUAAUAAAUUGAACUUUUAAUUUCUAGAACUAGAAAGGGGGGGUUUAGUGUUAGUUUAAUGCAUCUGGUUAAUGUAAAAUUAUAUUUUAUCUGUCUUUUAAAUCGAUCAAUAAAUUAACAUUGGUGUGAUUGAUUACGGUUUAAUUCAUCUAUAUUUGACAAUUUCGUGUUUGGCCUAAGAAGGCGAGUAAAGUGUGGUCAAUGGUUGGUUUGGAUUGAUUAUUGAAUAAAAGUAUGAGCGAAACCACUUGGUUUAUAUAUGUAUGUAUGUAUAACUCAGGGG